AUUUAAAUAGCUUAAUAAUAAAAAGUUUAAUAUUGAAGAUAUUAAGAUAAUAGAAAAUAUUUUUAAAUA
rnacentral:tRNA from 1 species